rnacentral:rRNA from 1 species
AACGAACGCUGGCGGCAUGCCUAACACAUGCAAGUCGAACGAGACCUUCGGGUCUAGUGGCGCACGGGUGCGUAACGCGUCGGAACCUGCCCUUAGGAUCGGAAUAACCCCCCGAAAGGGGUGCUAAUACCGGAUAAUGUCCUCGAACCAAAGAUUUAUCGCAUUUGGAUGCGCUCGUGUUCGAUUAGCUAGCUGUUAGGGUAAAAGCCUACCACGGCGACGAUCCAUAGCUGCACUGAGAGUAAGAUCAGCCACUCUGAGUCUGAGACACAGCCCAGACUUCUACGGGAGACAGCGGUGGGUAAUAUUGCACAACGGGCGAAAGCCUGAUCCAGCAAUGCCGCGUGAGUGAUGUGGGCCUUAGAGGUGUAAAGCUCAAGUAUACGGGAUGAUAAUGGCAGUACCGAGAGGAUAAGGCCCGGCUAACUCCGUG